rnacentral:lncRNA from 1 species
AGUCGGCCCGAACCAGCCCAAUCCAGCCCAUCUCUCCACCGCCCCCAACUCCCAGCAACCGACUUUUGCCAACGUCGUCUUCAUCUCUGCCUCCCAUGGAGCAGAACUCAUCUGCCGGUACCGCUGCAGCAGACGUCGUCAUCCUUCCUUGCCACGUUGCUGCUUGCUGCGUCCACGCGUCUCACAAUCUCUGGCUUCAAAUCAAACCGACUCCAUUGAACCGACCUUCGUCGUUGCCCCUAUCUUCUGUACAAAUAACAAGCUAGUUCGCCACCGUCACCAUUGUUUUCUUCCCCAUCUCCCUCCUCCGUCUGUCUCUCACUGGUACUGCCAAUAGAGAACAAGGUCUCUGUGACCUUCUUCUCCCCUGACCUGAAGCAGCGCCGCCUCCCACGACCGGAGUCCCCGCAGCUUUGCUCAAAUUUUGCCGGAAUUCGAGUUUUGGUCGCCGACGUUCCACCACGAAAUCCGUCGCUCUCACUGCUCCAUCUCCAAAAUUAGUGGUAAAAAUGGAACCUAGACCUUCCAUACCACCUUUGCCCUCACUUUCCCCGACGAAAUCGUCGCUGGAAUGGCACUGGAGACACCACCGACGUACUGCUCUGCCUCUGCCCAGUUCGGCCACCGUCGGGUUGCACGGCGACCCGCUGCUUCGCGCUGUCCUGCGCCUAGCCGCCUGAUCUUCUAGCACCGCCGCCCCUCCUUGUAGCCAUCUAGCUGUCGCGCCCUCACCGGAGCCUCGCCGGAGCACCGCCACCGCGGCUGCCUCCGCCGUCCGAUCCAGGCCGCCGCCGCCAGUAGGCCGCCUUCCAGCCGUCGCCACCGAGGGGAGUGGGACCCCCUCGGCCUCCCGCUGCCAGAUCUCGCCUCUCCCCGGCCGGAGCUGGCCUCCUACCACCGGCGCCCCUCCAUGGUCGCUGCCUCUGUGCACUAGAGAGAGAAAGGAACAAAGCAGAGAGAAAGAAAAGAACGAAGAAGAAAGAGAAGAGAGAGAAAAUAGGGAUUUUCCUAUUUAAAAAUAAUUCCAGAAGGAAUCGGAUCGGAGUUAGUCGUCAACGCCUACGACGCUGCAACUAUAGGAAGUGAAGCCUAGGACGAGUACGCCGACCCGACCCUGAAGGCAAGUCAAGCAUUCUUUGAUUAUACUUGAACCUAAUCUGGAGCUAGGUCAUAUUUUGGACAGCUGGACUUACCUUGAAGUACAUGUGUGUGUUUGUGUAUAUAUAUAUAUAGUGUGCAUGUGUUAAUUACUUAAAUUAUCACCUUGACUAGAAGUUAUAAAUUUAUUAUUUUGCCUUACAUACUGCAUGUCUUGAUAUUGUGCCUGUUAUGCCUUGAUAACCCUGGUUUAGAAUAGAUGAUUAUAUAUGGCUAUCAUUAUUGUAUGUGGAAUUAUGGAAUUAAGUUAUAGAUUAUUUGAAAAGCUAUAAGGACUUAAACCACCUUAUGCCAGUAUAUGUGACACAGUUUACACCCAUCCACACGAUCGAGAUACUCGGCCAUAACAUAUGCUGCACCAGUGAGUUGAUGAUCUGCAGCCUAUCUGUGUAUAUGGCAAUAUCGGUCUUAGGUGUGUACUGGCCACUGAGUGUUGUGAGUAUUGUGAUUGUUUGAGUGGGGUACUGCGUGUACCCAUAAGAGGUCAGGAGAAGCUAGUGUGUCUUGUGGCGGGGUUGGAACACACCCCCUCCGUGUUCGGGAUGGGGCCAAUGGCCACAAAAUCCUAUAACCCGCUAGGUGGAUCUUAGAUGAACUUGAGGCAGUAUUGUGUUAUGUUAUUCAUAGCCUGGCUAGCUGUGGGUAUUGUGUGGAUAAAGUUGGGUAGACACUGUAGAGUCGUUUGAUAUUCGAAUAUGCCGUGCUCCCGGUUAAUGGAGAUAUGUCUAUGGGUGAAUCCAGUGUGUUGGCAAAAGGGUAGACUUCGCAUAUUGUUUAAUAUGGUAGGUGAAUAACAUAAAAUGAUAGUUAUACUUGAUUAUUAUAUUGGGUUAUUAUCUGGGUUUAUUUGUAAACUACUGCUAAGGUUAGAGAGUUAAACCAGUUUACUCCCUUUGUUAGCUAUGCAUUAUUAUUUUACUAUUUUACCUGCUUAGCUUGUGGAGUACUUGUGUACUCUGUCUUGUGUACUUUUGGGUUCCAGUUGGUCAGGGUGAAGUUGCAAGUGAAGUCGAAGAGCCAGAGAACCCAUAGGAGUGGGACAAAGAUGAAGGCUUCGACUUUUAGGUUGUGGGGAUGUACAUGAAAUAAAUAGGAAUCCCACACGCACAACUGUCCAGGAUUCAGCUGCGCACAGAAAAGGUAUAAAAGCACAAGCUCAGUGAAGAAUACUUACAUAGCAGCGGAAAUAUGGCACGUCGGCCUAGCUUUUCAAACAGACCAACCAGGCAACAAGCAGAAGACCCAACAACAC